CAUCAUGUAGCGCCAGCCACACCAGGAACAGAAGGGUGCCGGGUACCUUCCGCAUGCUUGGUAUUCUCCCCGCGGGGCUCUGACCGCUGCCGCUCUCAGGCACCUGUCUUUCCUCUCCGUCCCAGAAUGGAGCCAAGACAAGGGAAUAAACGAAAUUCAAUAGUACACGGAGAUCGGGUGUCUGGGCAGCGUCUUGGAAAAACUAUCCACUACAGCAAUCAACAACACAGAAGACAACUUCUGCAACCCUAUCGGGAGAGGAGGGGUUCUCUCCACCACCAGUCCCCUGGAAGAAUUCUCAAAACACAGAAUGCUUGCCAAGUCAAUCCUAAGCCAAAAGAACAAAGCUGGAGGCAUCACACUACCUGACUUCAAACUAUACUACAAGGAUGCAGUAACCAAAACAGCAUGGUACUGGUACCAAAACAGAGAUAUAGACCAAUGGAACAGAACAGAGCCCUCAGAAAUAAUGCCGCUUAUCUACAACCAUCUGAUCUUUGACAAACCUGACAAAAACAAGAAAUGGGGAAAGGAUUCCCUAUUUAAUAAAUGGUGCUGGGAAAACUGGCUAGCCAUAUGCAGAAAGCUGAAACUGGAUCCCUUCCUUACACCUUAUGCUAAAAUUAAUUCAAGAUGGAUUAAAGACUUAAAUGUUAGACCUAAAACCAUAAAAACCGUAGAAUAAAACCUAGGCAAUACCAUUCAGGACAUAGGCAUGGGCAAGGACUUCAUGUUUAAAACACCAAAAGCCAUGGCAACAGAAGCCAAAAUUGACAAAUAGGAUCUAAUUAAACUAAAGAGCUUCUGCACAGCAAAAGAAACUACCAUCAGAGUGAACAGGCAACCUACAGAAUGGGAGAAAAUUUUUGCAAUCUACUCAUCUGACAAAGGGCUAGUAUCCAGAAUCUACAAUGAACUCAAACAAAUUUACAAGAAAAAAACAACCCCAUCAAAAAGUGGGCAAACGAUAUGAACAGACACUUCUCAAAAGACGACAUUUAUGCUGCCAAAAGACACAUGAAAAAAUGCUCAUCAUCACUGGCCAUCAGAGAAAUGCAAAUCAAAACCACAAUGAGAUACCAUCUCACACCAGUUAGAAUGGCGAUCAUUAAAAAGUCAGGAAACAACAGGUGCUGGAGAGGAUGUGGAGAAACAGGAACACUUUUACACUGUUAGUGGGACUGUAAACUAGUUCAACCAUUGUGGAAGUCAGUGUGGCGAUUCCUCAGGGAUCUAGAACUAGAAAUACCAUUUGACCCAGCCAUCCCAUUACUGGGUAUAUACCCAAAGGAUUAUAAAUCAUGCUGCUAUAAAGACACAUGCACACGUAUGUUUAUUGUGGCACUAUUCACAAUAGCAAAGACUUGGAACCAACCCAAAUGUCCAAUAAUGAUAGACUGGAUUAAGAAAAUGUGGCACAUAUACACCAUGGAAUACUAUUCAGCCAUAAAAAAGGAUGAGUUCAUGUCCUUUGUAGGGACAUGGAUGAAGCCGGAAACCAUCAUUCUCAGCAAACUAUCGCAAGGACAAAAAACCAAACACCGCGUGUUCUCACUCAUAGGUAGGAACUGAACAAUGAGAACACAUGGACACAGGAAGGGGAACAUCACACGCCGGGGCCUGUUGUGGGGUGGGGGGAGCGGGGAGGGAUAGCAUUAGGAGAUAUACCUAAUGUUAAAUGACGAGUUACUGGGUGCAGCACACCAACAUGGCACAUGUAUACAUAUGUAACUAACCUGCACGUUGUGCACAUGUACCCUAAAACUUAAAGUAUAAUAAAGAA
ensembl:lncRNA HIF1A-AS3 HIF1A antisense RNA 3